rnacentral:ncRNA from 1 species
CAAAGGCUUGGUCCUGACUUUUCUAUCACCUUUAACCUAAUUUACACAUGCAAGUAUCCGCACCCCUGUGAGAAUGCCCCACAGUUUCCAGCAGGAAACAAGGAGCUGGCAUCAGGCACAACCCCUGUUUAGCCCAAGACGCCUUGCUUAGCCACACCCCCAAGGGACCUCAGCAGUGAUAAACAUUAAGCCAUAAGUGAAAGCUUGACUUAGCCAAGGUUAAGAGGGCCGGUAAAACUCGUGCCAGCCACCGCGGUUAUACGAGAGGCCCAAGCUGAUAGACAUCGGCGUAAAGCGUGGUUAGGAGCCCCUUCAAAUUAAAGUCGAAUGUUUUCAAGGCUGUCAUACGCAACCGAAAACUAGAAGCACAACAACGAAAGUGACUUUACAACUUCUGAACCCACGAAAGCUAAGGCACAAACUGGGAUUAGAUACCCCACUAUGCCUAGCCCUAAACAUUGAUAGUUAAAUACUUUUCUAUCCGCCCGGGGACUACGAGCAUAAGCUUAAAACCCAAAGGACUUGGCGGUGCUUUAGAUCCACCUAGAGGAGCCUGUUCUAGAACCGAUAACCCCCGUUAAACCUCACCUUUUCUUGUUUAACCCGCCUAUAUACCACCGUCGUCAGCUUAUCCUGUGAAGGUCGACUAAUAAACAUAAUUGGCAUAGCCCAAAACGUCAGGUCGAGGUGUAGCGUACGAAAAGGAAAGAAAUGGGCUACAUUUUCUAUCUUAGAAAAUAACGAAUGAUAAGCUGAAAAAUGUAUCUGAAGGAGGAUUUAGUAGUAAGAAGGAAAUAGAGUGUCCUUCUGAAACUGGCCCUGAAGCGCGCACACACCGCCCGUCACUCUCCCCGAAUCUCAUUUUUAAUCUAAAUAAAACCCUUAAACUACAAAGGGGAGGCAAGUCGUAACAUGGUAAGUGUACUGGAAAGUGCACUUGGACAAAU